GGUAUUUAACAUAUCUCAGAUGUAAACACAUAAAUAACUACGAUGUUUAUAUAUGAAGUGUCUGCAGUGUUUAUGAAGGAGAAUGGCACAACUGAACCAGUUUGGAGAGAUUAUAUAAAGAAAAAUGCAUUAAGGAAACACUAAUGGAGAUCAUUGUGCAACCCUCUUGAAGUUAGGUAAAGCUAUAUGACUGAAUUCUACACAAGAGACUGUGAGCAAAAGUGAUGUUCCCCUCUUCUAGUCCCCUCUCUCCCUUUCCUUUUCCUUGUCUGACAGUUUGAGGUAAGGCCUCCAGUGGAAGACCCUGAGCCUUUAUGAUAACAGUAUCAAAAUAUGGAAGGGGGCUGGGUACCUGAGUGACUACAUGGAACAGAGAACCAACUCCCCAUUUCUUCCUGCCACCACUAACACACAGUAGAUGGUGAAGUGCAUGACAAAGGAACAAACUCUCAACAUUCUGAGGUUGUUUGUUUCAAUGGUUAGUGUGACUUAAUUUGUCUAAUAAAGAUAUUAACAGUUUGAGUAGGCUGCUUUUGCAACUGAAACUUCCAACAUGUAAUUACUGGUUUAUCAGACUGGAGGUAGGUGGUGAAGGAACAGAUAUAACAGGAUGGACGCCUAUAUAUCUGUGUUAUUCAGUGUCAAAUAUUUAAUUAAACAGUAGAAGAGAGAAAGUGUAUCUACUGGGAUCUACCUUUAAGAAAUGAGGUUGGUUAAAAACUGUUAUUCUCUUUUGGAUAUGGUUAUUUACUAUGCUGAGCAAUGUGUUACCUAAAAAGAUAAAUUUAGGAAAGAAUAGGCAGCAUUAAAUGAAAAGGAAUAGGAAAAAAAAAAAAAACCCAGAAACUUGGGUUUAUUCAGGUUGUGAAGUACUUACCUGGACUCCAAACAAUUUUUUAAGAGAGAUUUAAAAGCCUUUUGUAAAAAAACAAAAAAUAAAAAAAUAAAAAAUAAAAGCCUUUUGUAAGAUUUCCUACUUAAAGUAACUCCGACCUGGAACAUGUUUAGACUGAGGGUAUGGAUAUGACAUCCAAUUAGUUUUAGAUAGUCACCAGGUGUGCCAUUAAGUUGAAAAAGAGAAACUUAGAGGUGAGAAAGCAAAGAAAUAAAUUUAUCUAAGAGAAUAUUCUGGACUGCAUAGAUUAAGAGCCUACCAAUACUUUAGGGAAUUUUAUUGCCUUUUAUUAUUCCAUCUGUAACACAAUCUUUGGACUCAAGCUUGCUUCCAUAGGAACUAGUCUGAAAAAGUUAUACAGGAUUAAAAUCCUUACAAAAGACAGAGACAAUAAGUUAAAAACAGAAGAAAAAUGUCUUCCAGGGCAGAGCCGCCAAGAUCAAAGAGAAUAACGAACAAUAUGUUAUAUUGCCUAGAGAUCUUAGGCUUUCUGUUGAAUCCCUUGGAGAGAGGCUUUGGGUGUUCCAUAGAUAGAAUAAAUGGAACAAAAGAUAUUUGUUGAUCAAAGGGACAGAAUCCACAUUUCUCGUCUUUUAAAAGUUAGACUAAUUUCCCAGUCUUUUUGAAGCAAGGUCAUGUGACUGAAUUCUAACCAAUAGAAAGCAGACAGAAGGGUUUAUGACUAUCUUAGUCUGCUCAGGCUGCUAUGAUAUAUUAUAGAUUGAGCGACUUAAACAAAUUUAUUUCUCAUCAUUCUGAAGGUGAAGAAGGUCAAGAACAAGGUGUCAGCCAACUUGACAUUUCGGAAAUGGCUGCAUAUCAGAGUUCUCCACUGUUCUCCACACUUACUCUCUCCCUUAUCUCCGAGCUGGUAGCAGAGGAGCCAGCAGAAGACAGCAAGCCCUUGGUAUAGAUAGAGAAGCCAUGGAUGAAAAGAAGCAGGCCUUAAAGACAGAGCAAAGUAACAUAGCAUUCCUCUCUACUAUCAUCCUGUACUGGAUAGGCCCCCACAAAUAAUCCUGUAUUUUGGUAAACCGAUGCUUGAGGAAGACAUGCUAGAGCAAAAACUACAACUCUGGUCCUCUUGGAUAUUUUAGAUAAGGACUUUACCCACAUAAAGAAGGUGUUGCCCUGGGGACUGGCUGAGAGAAAUUACAGACUGUUACUCACUUCAAAAGAAACGGACUGCUACAGUGGUACUUACGUCACCAGAAAGAAACACUUCCACAAAGAAUUUGAUUUGAUGGCAUCAUGUGGACAUAGAACUCUCAUAGUAAUGACCCAACCUGUGUUUCCAGUCAUCCUGAUGAACUCUCAACAAAAUCAGAUUGUUAUACUGUUGUUCUCACUUUACACCGAUAUUUUCUCUUGCUCCUAAAAAAAGUAUCUGGUAUUAAAUAGAAUUCUGUAUCUUAAAAAACUUGCCAUUGAGAAAAAUGAGAAGUAACUGUACAUUUUAAUACUGAAGGUUUUAAUAAAAAAAGCAGUGUGAA
rnacentral:lncRNA from 1 species